GGGUACUUAGCUCAGUGGUAGAGUGUGUGCUUAGCAUGCACAAGGUCCUGGGUUCAAUCCCCAGUACCUC
rnacentral:tRNA from 1 species